rnacentral:rRNA from 1 species
GAGCAACGCCGCGUGAGGGAUGAAGGCCUCUGGGCUGUAAACCUCUUUUCUCAAGGAAGAAGAUCUGACGGUACUUGAGGAAUAAGCCACGGCUAAUUCCGUGCCAGCAGCCGCGGUAAUACGGGAGUAGCAAGCGUUAUCCGGAAUCAUUGGGCGUAAAGCGUCCGCAGGUGGCUUUGUAAGUCUGCCGUUAAAGCGUGGAGCUUAACUCCAUUUCAGCGGUGGAAACUACAAAGCUUGAGUGUGGUAGGGGCAGAGGGAAUUCCCGGUGUAGCGGUGAAAUGCGUAGAUAUCGGGAAGAACACCAGUGGCGAAGGCGCUCUGCUGGGCCAUAACUGACACUCAUGGACGAAAGCCAGGGGAGCGAAAGGGAUUAGAUACCCCUGUAGUCCUGGCCGUAAACGAUGAACACUAGGCGUCGGGGGAAUCGACCCCCUCGGUGUCGUAGCCAACGCGUUAAGUGUUCCGCCUGGGGAGUACGCACGCAAGUGUGAAACUCAAAGGAAUUGACGGGGGCCCGCACAAGCGGUGGAGUAUGUGGUUUAAUUCGAUGCAACGCGAAGAACCUUACCAGGGUUUGACAUCCUGCGAACCCCUGAGAAAUCGGGGGGUGCCUUCGGGAACGCAGUGACAGGUGGUGCAUGGCUGUCGUCAGCUCGUGUCGUGAGAUGUUGGGUUAAGUCCCGCAACGAGCGCAACCCACGUCUUUAGUUGCCAGCAUUCAGUUGGGCACUCUAGAGAGACCGCCGGUGAUAAACCGGAGGAAGGUGUGGAUGACGUCAAGUCAUCAUGCCCCUUACAUCCUGGGCUACACACGUACUACAAUGCUACGGACAAAGGGCAGCGAACUCGCGAGGGCAAGCAAAUCCCAUAAACCGUGGCUCAGUUCAGAUCGUAGGCUGCAACUCGCCUACGUGAAGGAGGAAUCGCUAGUAAUCGCAGGUCAGCAUACUGCGGUGAAUACGUUCCCGGGCCUUGUACACACCGCCCGUCACACCAUGGAAGUUAGCCACGCCCGAAGUCGUUACUCCAACCCUUGUGGAGGAGGAUGCCGAAGGUGGGGCUGAUGACUGGGGUGAAGUCGUAACAAGGUAGCCGUACCGGAAGGUG